rnacentral:rRNA from 1 species
AACGAACGCUGGCGGCAGGCCUAACACAUGCAAGUCGAGCGGACCCUUCGGGGUUAGCGGCGGACGGGUGAGUAACGCGUGGGAAUAUGCCCUUCUCUACGGAAUAGUCCUGGGAAACUGGGGGUAAUACCGUAUACGCCCUUUGGGGGAAAGAUUUAUCGGGGAAGGAUUAGCCCGCGUUGGAUUAGGUAGUUGGUGGGGUAAUGGCCUACCAAGCCGACGAUCCAUAGCUGGUUUGAGAGGAUGAUCAGCCACACUGGGACUGAGACACGGCCCAGACUCCUACGGGAGGCAGCAGUGGGGAAUCGUAGACAAUGGGGGCAACCCUGAUCUAGCCAUGCCGCGUGAGUGAUGAAGGCCUUAGGGUUGUAAAGCUCUUUCAGCUGGGAAGAUAAUGACGGUACCAGCAGAAGAAGCCCCGGCUAACUCCG